rnacentral:rRNA from 1 species
AUAAUGGAGAGUUUGAUCCUGGCUCAGGAUGAACGCUGGCGGUCUGCUUAACACAUGCAAGUCGAACGGGAGUAGCAAUACUCUAGUGGCGGACGGG